rnacentral:rRNA from 1 species
GACGAACGCUGGCGGCGUGCCUAAUACAUGCAAGUCGAACGAAGCUGUUUUAACUGGUGCUUGCACCGACUUAAACAACUGAGUGGCGAACGGGUGAGUAACACGUGGGUAACCUGCCCCAAAGCGGGGGAUAACAUUUGGAAACAGAUGCUAAUACCGCAUAAUCACAGAAACCACAUGGUUUCUGUGUCAAAGAUGGUUUCGGCUAGCACUUUGGGAAGGACCCGCGGCGUAUUAGCUAGUUGGUAAGGUAAUGGCUUACCAAGGCAAUGAUACGUAGCCGAACUGAGAGGUUGAUCGGCCACAUUGGGACUGAGACACGGCCCAAACUCCUACGGGAGGCAGCAGUAGGGAAUCUUCCACAAUGGACGAAAAUCUGAUGGAGCAACGCCGCGUGAGUGAAGAAGGUUUUCGGAUCGUAAAACUCUGUUGUCAGAGAAGAACGUGUGCGAGAGUAACUGUUCGUGCAGUGACGGUAUCUGGCCAGAAAGCCACGGCUAACUCCCUGCCAGCCGCCGCCGUAA